GGAAGAGUCAGUGCCUGGAGGAGCUGCCUACAGAAAACAUCAAGGAGGGGCUGGGCUUGGCCAGUCUGGGAGAGCCUGGAAGGACCCCUGACUAAGAAGCAGCAACAAGCGGAAGAAGUCUGUGCUGUGAAGAACUGCCCCAAGAAAUAUCACGGAGGAGGUCAACAGAGUUUAUUCUGUUCAUCUUCUCCACUUUUGUAAGACCCCACCUGGAGUAUUGGAGCCUCCAACAAAAGGAGGGCAAGGACAUGUUGGAGCAGGUCCAGAGGAGGACCAUCAAGAUUAUCAGAGGGCUGGAGCAUGUCUGUGGUGAAGACAGUCUUAGAGCAUUGGGGUUUUUCAGUCUGGAAAAGAGAAGAUUCUGGGAAGACCAUUUUAGCAGGCUUCAGCUAAAGAUGGACUAGGAGAAAGCGGAGAUGGACUUUGCACAAGGGCAUGUAGGGAUAGGGAGAGGAAAAACAGUUUUAAAUUGGCAGAGAGUGGGUUUAAAUUAGUACUAGAAAGAAAUUCCUCACUCUGAGGGUGGAACAGGUUGUUCAGAGAAGUUGUGGAUGCCCCAUCCCUGGAAAUGUUCAAGGCCAGGUGAGGUGGGGACCUUGAAACAACCUGGUCUAGUGGAAGGUGUCCCCGCCCAUGGUAAGGGGGUUGGAACCGGUUGGUCUUUUUCCACCCCAAGUCAUUGAAUGAUUGUAUGAUUGAUUCCAUGAUUCUAUCAUCAUAGUCAGUACUUGUCUGUAAUUAAUAUUGAAAC